GGGGCGUUAGCUCAGUUGGUAGAGCACCUGCAUGGCAUGCAGGGGGUCAGCGGUUCGAAUCCGCUACGCUCCACCA
rnacentral:tRNA from 6 species